UACGUAGGGGGCUAGCGUUGUCCGGAUUUAUUGGGCGUAAAGAGCGUGUAGGCGGCCAGGUAGGUCUGCUGUGAAAACUCGAGGCUCAACCUCGAGACGUCGGCGGAAACCAUCUGGCUAGAGUCCGGAAGAGGAGAGUGGAAUUCCUGGUGUAGCGGUGAAAUGCGCAGAUAUCAGGAAGAACACCCGUGGCGAAGGCGGCAUCCUGGACCGGUAUUGACGCUGAGGCGCGAAAGCUAGGGGAGCAAACGGG
rnacentral:rRNA from 1 species